rnacentral:lncRNA from 1 species
GUCUGCUCUUGUCUUGUAUUUUUUUUUUUGUGCCUUGAGCUACACGUGCCGGCAGAUUAUUUAAGUCAAAAUCAUACCCAGCUAAAUACAGAUGACCAUUCUUUGGUUUGCUGUCACCAUUCAUCCCAGAAUAAUCUCCAUUCAUUUUAGUUUUGCCGUCAAUACUUCUCUUCAUCCUUGUCGUUUAUAUCUUGUUUACCACUAAUCCAAUAUUUGGUAAAUAAAUACUGAAUAGUGUAAUAUUUGGCGGUAAAUUGUAAUGCGGAAGAAAACAUGGAAAAUUUGCUUGUUAUUGAAUACCUUAAAAUGGACUUGUCACGACCUAUAAAUUUCAAAUAAUAGAAAAAAGAUUGAAUUGUGUUAUAAUAUAAUAAGAUUUACAUUAAAGAUCAUCUGGAUGCUUGACAGAUUUGUUAAACAUGAGGUACUAUUUUAGCCUAUAAAGAG